GAUGAACGCUGGCGGCGUGCUUAAUACAUGCAAGUCGAACGAAGAGCGGUGGAAGUUUGCUUCUAUCUAUUUUAGUGGCGAACGGGUGUGUAACGUGUAUUCAACCUGCCCUUCAGAGGGGGACAACAGUUGGAAACGACUGCUAAUACCGCAUACGAUCUAAUCUCGGCAUCAAGGAUAGAUGAAAGGUGGCGCCUACAUGUAUGCUAUCAUUGAAGCUGGGGUUUGUGUCUGAUUAGGUAGCUGGUGGAGUAACGGCCCACCAAGGCGAUGAUUAGUAGCCGGUCUGGGAAGAGGAACGGCCACAAUGGGACUGGGAAACGGCCCAGGCUCCUACGGGGAGCAGCAGGGAGGGAUCUUCCGGAAAUGACGAAAGUCUUACGGGACAACGGCGGGGGAGGUAUGACAGCCUUCGGGUUGUAAAGCUCUUGUUAUCAGGAAGAAAGGCCUGCGUGCGAAUAGGGGGAAGGAUUGACGGUACCGGAAUAGAAAGCCACGGCUAACUACGUG
rnacentral:rRNA from 1 species